ACAAAUAAAACAUUCUGGAUGACCAGUAAGAAAGGAGAGCAGGAAAUACUUAAGGACAUUUUUGCAUUUGAGAUGAUCCUUACAGGAUACAAAACAACAAUGGCAUUUCGCAUCAGCCUAAAUACAAGGAGUCAAGGGGGACGGUCACAAGUUUGGGUGCAUCAGUGAAUAUGUCUGCAUUGGUUCAAGUGCUUGUUAUAUGAGGCCUGAGUCCAAGGGUGCAUUUUAAUAUAAUGUGUCAGAAUAUGGAGAGCCACUGAAGAAUUUUGAACUGAAAUGUACAUGGCCACAUUUUAACAAAGGAAAGGCUGUUCUCCAAACCAGCUAGGUUGUUUUGAAGAUGAGAGAACAAUUGUAAGUAAGAAUAAUAGUUUGAAACUUAGAGAUCAGAGGACACUGAACUAUUUUCUAUAUGUCUGCCUUAAUGUUUUCAGAUAGAUACAGAUUUAAUGGAUAGAUUUGAGAGACAAUGGUAAAGAAGAAAUUAGUCCAGCUGACAUCUUACGUGACAUGUAUGCAAUUAUAAUUCAAAGAGAAGGAUGACCUCUGCAUACCAAAAGAUUUGUUAUUCUACCUUAUGAAGUGCUGCAGUUCUUACGGUGUUUUCUGACCAUGAUCUGUACAAAGCGGAUGAACAUGCCAAGAUGCCUUUGCUCUCCCUGGCUGCAGAUCCUCCUGUAGCCUUCAUGCUGGCCUUCGUUUGACCUGUUUGUGGGAAGUUCUGCCUUUUCCUUCUGUUUUAAUCUACACUCUGUCGCCACCAUUAAAUAUCCAUGGAUGUAGAGUUGAUGGUGGUACUAAUAAAACUGUUUAGAAGAGAAAAUAUGAAAACUCAAAUGAAGUGAGUAGCUAACCAGAAGACAUAUAUUAAAGAAGCAAAAUUCCCAA